UGCUGGAGGUAUCGGAAGUGCGAAUGCUGACAUGAGUAGCGUUAAAGGGGGUGAAAAGCCCCCUCGCCGAAAGCGCAAGGUUUCCUACGCAACGUUCAUCGGCGUAGGGUGAGUCGGCCCCUAAGGCGAGGCAGAAAUGCGUAGCUGAUGGGAAACAGGUUAAUAUUCCUGUACCACAGUCGAGUGCGAUGUGGGGACGGAGAAAGUUAGGUCAGCCGGGUGUUGGAUGUCCCGGUUCAAGCAUGUAGGCGUGCCCCUUAGGCAAAUCCGGGGGGCUGAGCUGAGGUGUGACGACGAGGCGGCUUGCCGCUGAAGUGAUUGAUACUCUGCUUCCAAGAAAAGCCACUAAGCUUCAGCUCGACGUGACCGUACCGCAAACCGACACUGGUGCGCGAGAUGAGUAUUCUAAGGCGCUUGAGAGAACUCGGGAGAAGGAACUCGGCAAAUUUGUACCGUAACUUCGGGAUAAGGUACGCCCCUGGUAUGUGAAGCCGUACAGGCCGAGCAGAAGGGGGCCGCAGUGAAAAGGUGGCUGCGACUGUUUAUUAAAAACACAGCACUCUGCAAACACGAAAGUGGACGUAUAGGGUGUGACGCCUGCCCGGUGCCGGAAGGUUAAGUGAUGGGGUGCAAGCUCUUGAUCGAAGCCCCGGUAAACGGCGGCCGUAACUAUAACGGUCCUAAGGUAGCGAAAUUCCUUGUCGGGUAAGUUCCGACCUGCACGAAUGGCGUAACGAUGGCCACACUGUCUCCUCCCGAGACUCAGCGAAGUUGAAAUGUUUGUGAUGAUGCAAUCUCCCCGCGGAAAGACGGAAAGACCCCAUGAACCUUUACUGUAGCUUUGCAUUGGACUUUGAACAGAUCUGUGUAGGAUAGGUGGGAGGCUUUGAAACCGGGAUGCUAGUUCCGGUGGAGCCAACCUUGAAAUACCACCCUGGUGUGUUUGAGGUUCUAACCUUGGCCCUUGAAUCAGGGUCGGGGACAGUGCAUGGUGGGCAGUUUGACUGGGGCGGUCUCCUCCCAAAGCGUAACGGAGGAGUUCGAAGGUACGCUAGGUACGGUCGGAAAUCGUGCUGAUAGUGCAAUGGCAUAAGCGUGCUUAACUGCGAGACCGACAAGUCGAGCAGGUGCGAAAGCAGGACAUAGUGAUCCGGUGGUUCUGUAUGGAAGGGCCAUCGCUCAACGGAUAAAAGGUACUCUGGGGAUAACAGGCUGAUACCGCCCAAGAGUUCAUAUCGACGGCGGUGUUUGGCACCUCGAUGUCGGCUCAUCUCAUCCUGGGGCUGUAGCCGGUCCCAAGGGUAUGGCUGUUCGCCAUUUAAAGAGGUACGUGAGCUGGGUUUAAAACGUCGUGAGACAGUUUUGUCCCUAUCUUCCGUGGGCGCUGGAAGCUUGAGAGGGCCUGCUCCUAGUACGAGAGGACCGGAGUGGACGCACCCCUGGUGUACCGGUUGUCACGCCAGUGGCAUCGCCGGGUAGCUAUGUGCGGAAGAGAUAACCGCUGAAAGCAUCUAAGCGGGAAACUCGCCUCAAGAU
rnacentral:rRNA from 1 species